GCCUGCCCUCCCACUGUUGGCAGAAGUGGCACCUGGAGAUUGGUGUUCAGCUGCAGCAGCGACCUUGCAGGGAUCGCCCUCAAAGGAGGUGAGAGAUGCGGGGAGCCUCCCUUCUCAUCGGGGUGGAAAGCGAAUUCAGCAUUUUUUUUCCAGGCCGAGGUUCAUCUUAUUUCAACAUUCUCGGAGCCUCCCUCAGAGUGGAGACCUGGAGAAGGGCCUCAGAAGAAGAUCUAAGGGUCUGGGUAGGUUCAUAUCAGGAGAGACAUUCCAGAACAUAUUGGGGUCCUGAGCUGCGUCAGGGUGUAAGAAAUAUGAGUUUGUAAUAAAUCUUUUAUUU